UACGUAGGGUGCAAGCGUUGUCCGGAAUUAUUGGGCGUAAAGAGCUCGUAGGCGGUUUGUCGCGUCGGCUGUGAAAACCUGGGGCUCAACCCCGGGCCUGCAGCCGAUACGGGCAAACUAGAAUUCGGUAGGGGAGACUGGAAUUCCUGGUGUAGCGGUGAAAUGCGCAGAUAUCGGGAGGAACACCAGUGGCGAAGGCGGCUACCUGGACCAGCACUGACACUGAGGCACGAAAGCGUGGGGAGCAAACAGG
rnacentral:rRNA from 1 species